AUCACUCGACAUCCACACACUCGGUUGGGGGCAGCCAAAGUUGCGCAACUUGCCUGCAACUGGUUGUGGCGAAAGGGAUCCGGUUGUGCAUGCAACCGGGCUCCCCAGCGCCGCGCCCGGGAGGGAUCCAAUUAGUUCACUAAUGAGUCAUUAGGUUACUGGUCGGGUGAGUGGGUCACGAGGCGAGGUUAUGUCACGACUGGGUAAUUGGGUCAUUAGGUGACUGGGGUCAUGGGCUGGGCAAUUGGGUCAUUGGGUGACUGGGGUCAUGGGCUGGGUAAUUGGGUGACUGGGGUCAUGGGCUGGGUAAUUGGGUCAUUAGGUGACUGGGGUCAUGGGCUGGGUAAUUGGGUCAUUGGGUGACUGGGGUCAUGGACUGGGCAAUUGGGUCAUUGGGUGACUGGGGUCAUGGGCUGGGUAAUUGGGUCAUUAGGUGACUGGGGUCAUGGGCUGGGUAAUUGGGUGACUGGGGUCAUGGGCUGGGUAAUUGGGUCAUUAGGCGACUGGGGUCAUGGACUGGGCAAUUGGGUCAUUGGGUGACUGGGGUCAUGGGCUGGGUAAUUGGGUCAUUAGGUGACUGGGGUCAUGGGCUGGGUAAUUGGGUCAUUAAGCGACUGCAGUCAUGGACUGGGCAAUUGGGUCAUUAGGUGACUGGUGUCAUGGGCUGGGUAAUUGGGUUAUUAGGCGACUGGGGUCAUGGACUGGGCAAUUGGGUCAUUGGGUGACUGGGGUCAUGGACUGGGCAAUUGGGUCAUUGGGUGACUGGGGUCAUGGGCUUGGUAAUUGGGUCAUUAGGUGACUGGGGUCAUGGGCUGGGUAAUUGGGUCAUUAGGUGUCGGGUCAUGAGCUGGGUCAUUAGGUGACUGGGGUCAUGGGCAGGGUAAUUGGGUCACGAGGCGACCCCAUUGUAUACAAUUUGGCCUUUCUGUGGGCAGUGAGGAUGCAAGGCGAGGUGGGGGCGGGACGGGGAGCGGAUCGUUCAGGUGAACAGGUCGAGGCUUGGGGUGGUGGGAUCGGGGGAUAAACUACUGCACUACCGUAAAAAAAUGGGUCAAAUGUCAAGCCCAGGUCAUUGUGUGUGUGUGU